ensembl:snoRNA SNORA70 Small nucleolar RNA SNORA70
CUCCUUCCAAUUUAGCUGACCAUGGGCCAGGUGUGCAGUGGUUGCAAACUCCUCGGUAGUGCAUGCAGCCCUGCUACUUGUUAGGAUUGCUCUGAGGAGCCUUGGAGACGGCC